rnacentral:lncRNA from 1 species
CGGGCCCGAGGCCGAGGACACCGCCCCGGCGGACCAGAAGAAGGACUCCAAGAAGAGCGCGGCCGCCGGCGCGCCGCGCGCAAGGUGGCUCGCCGCGGCGCUGGCGACCGUGGCCGUGGCUUCCACGCUGGCUUAGGGUAUUUUAUUUCCCUCCCUGGUGCUUGAUCCGUUGGCGUGAUCGAUCGUGGUGUGACGGCGUGCUCGUGUAGUGCUUCUUCCGCGGAAGACAUACUAGUUGUGUGCUCGAUUUUCAUCUGCUUUUUCUUCUUCUCUUUAGAUGUUCUUAUUAUCCGUGAGUUGCCGCCAUGAUUCUGCUCGUGCUACUACAAGAGUACAAGACCACGCAUGAGAGGUUUCAUGCCAUCUUGAGCUCCCCAGACAUUGAUGUUCUUUUGGUCGAUCCGGCGACCGGCGAGUGAAACCUUGGAGCGAACUUGCUCCAUGCCGUGUUAACGGACGAGCGUAUUUUGCGAAUUCUCGUCGACAACAUGUUUUGAGUGACAUGUUCCUAGUCCUACAAAGUCAAUUUGUGGUUGGAGCCAAGUCUCAAAUUAUCUAUGGCGUCUUCGUCAGAUCCUGUAAACAAAUGCAACGACGACGGGUCCGUUGCUUGAACGGCGCGCGAGCUUUCAUUCAUUUCUUGGGACUUCAGCUGUCGGUGGAUGCUUUGCCAUCCCCGGCUCAAGCAGGUCAAACAACACAAACCACACAUGAAAGUAAAAGUAGUGCAGGUGACAAGGAGUAGAAUAAAGAGAGGAGGAAGGAGCGGUGAAAAAGCUUGGCCCGGGCUGAUGCUGAUGCAUGGCGAUCAACAGCGAAAGAAGAAGAGAAGUUACAGCACCUUCCAUUUCGGGCUUUCGGCCUAAUUAUAUCCCCCACAUGGAGCGCUAAAGCUUAGCAGUGAGAGUGAUACCGGCACGCUGGGCCUCCGCCGCUGCCGCUGGCCCACUACGCACGGGGCUCUAGGCGUAGCCCAAACAUCUUUUGGUGCAAGAGAGUGGUGCUCCUCUGGAUUGGACGGUGCACCGAGACGAGACGAUUUAAUGAACAGCAGUCAGCAAUCAUGUGUCGGCCGAGCAAUCUCGUGAACGGUCGAGCAGUUCCCGCGGUCCGGCCGAGGUUGCCGACACGCGCGCGCCACCACCGCGACACCAGCGGCCGAGAAGAGCCAUGCACGCCUAAAGAACGGCCACGGGCACGGCCACGGCAACGGCAACCCGCGCGCACGCCGAUCGGCAAGCCAUCCGCACGCACGCGACGACGGCGAGCUAGUUCGUUAACCAACGCCUGCGCACCCACCCACCCACGUAACGCGCGCGCGCACCGGCGCAGUCAUGGCUCGCACGACGCUGCUCCUAGCCGCGCUCCUCCUUGCCGCCGUGGCCGUGGCGCCGCUGGUCAGGGCCGAGAGCGCCGCCGACGCCCCCGCCCCUGCCGACGCGCCGGCUGCAGACGGCCCGGCGGCCGACUCCAUCGACGAGUCCGCCUACGCGCCGGCCGUGGAGGUCAACAGCUUGGCCGACACGCUGUCGCCGGCGCCUGCCCCCGACGCCUGAAUGGAUGAUGACGUGUACAGUUGCAAGGAUCUGUAUUCCUUUUCCUAAGUAAAUCAUUCAUGGUUGGAUUUUUGGUUUUCCUAGGAAAGCUAGAUGGAUCAUAGCAGUAGGAGUUGUUGCGGUGUCGUGGGCUUUGUGGAAAUCUAGAAAUAAAGCAUUUUUUUCAAAAUAUUUAUCCCUGCGAUCCUUCAAGCAUUAUUACGCAAUCUGCUUAUUGGCCAAAAUUCUGAAUACAGAAAUGAGAACAACGCGGGGUACAAGUCAAAGGAGCAAGGCUUCUGCUGCAAGUGUUAACUGAGAUCUUCAACAAGCCCAGAAGCUGGGCUCCAAGCCUCCAAUGGUCCUUCGCAUUGCUGGUUAAGUUGUUCAUAGACGUUCAAGUUCUUAGUCUUCAGUUUGGUCUUUGUUGCCGCUGCUAUGUAGAUGUUACUUGUGACAAUUCUCGUUUAGGUAUAGCCGAGGUCUUAUCAGCGUUCUUUCACUAUGUGGCCCGAGAGGCACAUCUGUAAGAAUGAAGUUAGUAAUAGUUUGUUAGUGUGUGAGUUUGUUAGACAGUUUGGCUGGGAUAUGCAGGAUGUUGCCGAAAUCUGAUCGCGGUGAACACUCGAUGGUUGGUGUGUAUUAUCAAAUUUCAAAAAUGAAAAUUUGGGGGAAACCUCUUAAUUCAAGAAAAAGUAUAUCACUCAUAUUCUCUGAAAGAAAUAAAAGUUGUACUGGUCAUGUUGUAGACUUUAGUUUUUGCCUAGUUUUACUUUGGUAUCGAUUGACCAAUCUCACUUGUCGCCCAUCGUGUUUCAUUGGGCCCACACACCGCUCAAGCUCUUUCUUAUCCCCUCACAUGGAGCGCUUUCCUAGCCAUUCGUUCCACCGCGUCUCUCUCUUCAUGUGGCCAAUAUUCUACCCUGCCCCAGUUGCAUGUCCCUCACCAUGCAACUCCACUCGACCCAAUUACAUGUUUAUCAUCGACACGUACCUUGCCCUCUGCCCUCGGACCCAAUAGCAAUGUCCAUCCUCAACAUGCAAUCUGCGCCCUCCCAAACUCGACCCAAUUGCAUGUCCAUUUUUGACAUGCAACUUGCCCCAACGAACGGACCUAAUUGUAUGUCAAACCUUGAGACACAACUCCACCCGACCCAAUUGUAUAUGUCCACCCUUAGCACAACUUGCCCUCCGACCCCGACAUAGUUGCAUAUCUACCUUCGACACAUAACUUGCUCCUGAGACGACCCAACUGCAUGUCCAUCCUCCACAAACAACUUGCCUCCUCCUCAAUCCCAACACACAGUUGCAUGAUAAACCUUGACACAUAACUCCAUCCCGACCUAGCAUUGGUAUGCAACUUGCCCCAACCCGACCCAGUUGCAUGUACAUAUUCAACGUCCAACUUGCUUCUCCCCCUCACUCGGCCACGACCCAAUUACAUGUCAAACUUGACACACAACUCCGUUGAUCCAGUUGCAUGUCCAACCUACACAUACAACUUGCCCUGACCCAACUUGUCAAACCUUGACACACAACUCAACCAGACCCGAUUGCGUGCAGUUUCGACAUGUAACUUGCCCACCAACCCGACUCAGUUACAUGUAUGUACUCGACACGCAACUUGCCCCCCAACCUGGCGUAGCUGCAUGCCCACACUCGACACACAACUUGGCCCUAAUGCCGACCCAAUUGCAUUUCAACACUCGACACUCAACAUGCCCCUCAACCCAAUCCAGUUGCCUGUGAACACUCACAUGCAACUUUCCUCCUGACCCCGACCUAGUUGCAUGUACAGUACGACUACAACUACAAACGCGGGCAAUUUGAUCAGUUUUAAAUAUGUGAAACCUUUUUUAAAUAACAUUGAACAUAUUUUAAAUGCACAACGAAUUUUUUGAAUACACGAGUAACAAUUUUAAAUACAAGUAAACAUAUCUUUUCAAAUACGCGAUACAUAUUUUUAAGUAACGUUCAACAAAUUUUAAUGGAUGAUGAACACUUUUUAAAUAUUUGAUAACAUUUUCUAACGAACAUUGUCAAUUUUUGCACGACGAUCAUUAUAUCAAUACUUUGGUGGAUAUUUUAAAUACAAUUUGAUUUUUAAAUACAAGACAAACAUUUUUCUUAUAAUGAUGAUUUUUUAAAUGCACAUUGAACUUUUUAAAAAAUACAUGAUGAACAUUAAAUUUACGAGAUUGUUUUAGGCCCAUGGACAUUUUUAAGUUUCAUGGAUACUUUUUAAAAUUUUGAAAACAUUUUAAAUUUUUCAUGAUUUUUUUAUUAACAUUUUUAGUUGUGCACACAACACAUAUGUUGAAAGAUCGUGAAUGUCGCCUAGGGGGGGUGAAUAGGCGCUUUAAAAUAAUUACGGUUGAGGCUUGAACAAAUGCGGAAUAAACCUAGCGGUUAAUUUGUCAAGCACAAAACCUACAACAACUAGGCUCACCUAUGUGCACCAACAACUUAUGCUAAGCAAGAAAAACUACUUAGGUGAUAGCAAGAUAUAUGACAAGAAACAAUAUGGCUAUCACAAGGUAAAGUGUAUAAGUAAAGGGCUCGGGUAAGAGAUAACCGAGGCACGCGGAGACGACGAUGUAUCCCGAAGUUCACACCCUUGCGGAUGCUAAUCUCAGUUUGGAGCGGUGUGGAGGCACAAUGCUCCCCAAGAAGCCACUAGGGCCACCGUAAUCUCCUCAAGCCCUCGCACAAUGCAAGAUGCCGUGAUUCCACUAAGGGACCCUUGAGGGCGGUCACCGAACCCGUACAAAUGGCAACCCUUGGGGGCGGUCACCGAACCUGUACACUUUGGCAACCCUUGGGGGCGGUCACCGGAACCCGUCAAAUUGCUCGGGGCGAUCUCCACAACCUAAUUGGAGACCCCGACGCUUGCCCGGAGCUUUACACCACAAUGAUUGAGCUCCGAACACCACCAACCGUCUAGGGCGCCCAAGCACCCAAGAGGAACAAGCUCAAGGGUACCAAGCACCCAAGAGGAACAAGCUCAAGGGUACCAAGCACCCAAGAGUAAUAAGCUUCUCAACUUGUAACUUCCACGUAUCACCGUGGAGAACUCAAACCGAUGCACCAAAUGCAAUGGUAAGGGCACACAGAGUGCCCAAGUCCUUCUCUCUCAAAUCCCACCAAAGCAACUAAUGCUAGGGAGGAAAUUGAGACGAAGAACAAGAAGGAGAACACCAAGAACUCCAAGAUCUAGAUCCAAGGGGUUCCCCUCACAUAGAGGAGAAAGUGAUUGGUGGAAAUGUGGAUCUAGAUCUCCUCUCUCUUUUCCCUCAAAAACUAGCAAGAAUCCAUGGAGGAAUUGAGAGUUAGCAAGCUCGAAGAAGGUCAACAAUGGGGGAAGAACACGAGCUCAAGAGAUAAGGUUCAUUGGGGAAGAAGACCCCCUUUUAUAGGAGGGGGAAAAUCCAACCGUUAUGUGCUCAGCCCGCACACGAGCGGUACUACCGCUCGGGCGGAAGAAGCAGUGAAAAGGACCAACAAAACAAGAACCUUGGGGCGGCAGUACCGCCGAUAAGCGGUACUACCGCUCGCCCCAGCGGUACUACCGCUGGAGGAGCAGAACACAGGACAAAAGGAGGCAGGACAGAGCAGAGUACGGUGGCAGUAGUGCAGUAGCGGUACUACCGCUCGACCGGAGCGGUAUACCGCUAAUAGGCGGAACUACCGUGCCUUACUGCCGCGCGACUACCGCUGAACCCGACACGAAAAGAGCAGACCCAAAAUCGAGGCGGUAGUAGAGCGGUACUGGAGCGGUACUACCGCUUGACGCUACAAGCGGUACUACCGCUGCCACCGCGGUACUACCGCUGGGAGAAAAACAGAACUGCCAAAACUUCUUCAUAUGAGCUCCGAAUUGAGCAAACUCAAGCUUGUUGGAUACAAGACGACGAGUAGCAUCAAAACAACGACUAGUUAUAGUAAGAAGAGGCAGGGGAGGUAUGCCAACAAAUAGAGGAGUGAAACCUUCAACCGAGAAGAACCGGCAUAACCUCCAACAUCGAAAACAUCAUAGAAGAUGCGAGUGAACUCCGUUUUCGAUGAACUCGAGCUUGUCAUCAAGAUGACCAUAAGCUCCAAAACUCACAAAGAGAAGAACCAAACAAGAACCAAUAAAGAUGAUGCAAGGAUGCAAUGGUUUGAGCUCUCUAUGAACGAUACGAUCAAGCUACUCAUCGAGAGCCCCCCUUGAUAGUACGGCAAUCGAUCCUAUAACCCGGUCUCCCAGCUAUCAUCACGAGACCGGUAAAAUAGAAAACCUAUCAAGAGCAAACCUUUGCCUUGCACAUGGUCCACUUGAGCUAGAUGAUGACGAUCUUGACUCCCUCAAGAUGAACCACCUUUCUUGAUUGCGUUGGCUCGAUGAAGACUAGUUGAUUGCUCCCUCAUACUCACAAGUCCAUUGUCACCACAAUGGCUUCAAGCAUUUGAUCUCUUCGUGAUGCUUUACUUGAACUUGCGCGCUUCACUUGAACUUGCACACCGCAACCUAACCCCACAAAGAACUCUCACGAAGACCAUGGGUUAGUACACAAAGCGUAAUUGACAAUGCUUACCAUACCAUGGGAUCGCUUGAUCCCUCAGUACAUCUUGUGCGCUUUGUGUGUUGAUCAACUUGAUUCACUCUUGACCUAGUCUUGAUCAACCUUGAUUCUUUCCAACUCUCUUCAUUUGGAUGAUGUCUUGAAGGUAAACAUGAAUGAUCACACAAUCUUCUUCUUCAAGACAUGCUUGCAAUAAGCUCAACUCUCACAUGACCAAUCUUUGGAUAAUUCCUUAAUAACACCUUGGUCACCACAUAAACUCCUUGAAACCAACACAUGGACUUCAAGAAAUGCCUAUGGACAAAUCCUUCAAAUAUAACUCAAGGCACCCAUUAGUCCAUAGAGAUUGUCAUCAAUUACCAAAACCAAACAUGGGGGCACCGCAUGUUCUUUCACAUGUUUUGUGUAUCCUUUUUAUAGAACAAAAACUUGCAAUCUCCCAUUCAAAAUAGAACAACAACUUGCCUAUCAAAAAGAAAACAACGUGGUGCAACAUUUUUUUCUCUCUGUGUGUGUAUUGUGUAUGGGAAUUUUUAUAAUGACUUUUGCUUUGGCUGGAUUGUUUUUUNNNNNNNNNNNNNNNNNNNNNNNNNNNNNNNNNNNNNNNNNNNNNNNNNNNNNNNNNNNNNNNNNNNNNNNNNNNNNNNNNNNNNNNNNNNNNNNNNNNNNNNNNNNNNNNNNNNNNNNNNNNNNNNNNNNNNNNNNNNNNNNNNNNNNNNNNNNNNNNNNNNNNNNACCAUACACUUUACUUGCCCAGCGUGUGAAUACUUUUUUCUUGUGCAACAACAACAACAUUGACAAUAAGGGCAUCCCCAAUGUCAUGAUGUCAAAUUUGUGAUGUGGCCAGAACUUUGCCAUCGAUGUCAAAUAGCCCAUUUCUCCACAGUGUACUGUUUCUCAUAUUGUGUACAACAUCCUCACAGUAAGACCCCCGCAAAAAUAUAAUGCUUUAGAAAAUUGCUACAUGUAUGCCAACCCCACAUGGUUCGUGUAGUUUGGUGAGAUCCAUAUAGUAUUUUAUUGUCUUGGGAAGUUUGGCACCGAAGCACGAAGAAAGCUUCGGUUCAUAUUGGUUUGCGUACGGCACUAGUCUCCACAAUGUAUGAUGACGCUGUGAGGAACCGAAACUCAAUUUGGCAAUGCUAUUUGGCACACACAUUGUGGGUGCCCUAACAACGACAAUAGCCCAGGCCCAAUAGAAGGUUGUCGGGGUGUCGGCCUGUGGUGUGCUGGAGAGGGCCCGGCAAAACAAAACAGUGUCAAAACAAAGAAGACAACAAAAACAAGUGGCGACAACAAACACCAAAACAUCCAUCCAGCGGCUGGAACAGGAUCUGAACCCGUCCCGCGGCUACCUACAACUGCGCGCCACCACUGCGCCGUAGCCACCGCCCAGAACCACGCGCGACGCAACGUCCAGGCAGCCCCGCCCAGAAAUAGCCACCUCCGGCAGCUACAUAACACCGCCCCGUCGCCUCUCCCCACGCCACAUCCACAGCGAACCAAGCCUCAGAGAUCACUACGCACAGCAGCAGCACCAGCACCGCCAGGAAGUGCAGUAGUCGACGCAGCUGAGCCAUGGCCCGCCGCACGGCCCUCAUCCUCGCCGCGCUCCUCCUCGUCGCCCUGGCCGUCGCGCCGUUGGCCAACGCCAAGAAGGCCGCCAAGGACAAGGAGGAGAAGGCCUCCGACGCCCCCUCGGCCGACGCGCCGGCCGCCGACUCGCCCGCGGAGGGGCCCUCCGAUGGACCGGCGGCUGCCCCCGGGCCUGAGGGCAUCGCCGGCCUCUCGCCCGACAACGACGACAACGACGACAAGUGAACCCGAGUGCAUGCCCUUCUGGAAGGAUCCGUUCGAUGCUGACCAGAUCGUCCGCAUGGAUUUUAGUUUCGAGACAAUAAUAAUACUACUACGUAUAGGCCUGUUGCCCUGCUAGGAGGAUGCCGUCGUAAUUCAAAUUUUUGUUUUUCCGUCUUUUCAAGUGUUAUUAUGAGCCGUGUUAUUUGUCGUGUUCCUUAAUUCGUGUUAUUUGUAAUAACAGUAUUUAUCGAAUCAAAUAUUUCCGUGUUAGCAUAUAUAUGGCUCCCUCCAGUUUGCAAAUCAUUUUUUAUUUUUUAUGUAACACACAUUCUCAUAUGCCCUAAUUGAACGCAACAAUAAUUCAGUGAAAAUGCUAUCUGGUGAACGUUUGUCAGAAGCCCAAUCCUGACGAACGCCCGAUCUAAAUGAUGGUGGCAGUUUCCUGCACAAAAACUGCCGUUAAUUAAACAAACUGCAUUGGAAGUUUUGCAAAAAUGCCACUCCUCCUACCAUGACUGCUAGCCACGCCUUUCACAAAUGCCAUCUUGGCUGGAAAUGGCUCUUGGCUAUCGCAGUCCUAAUUUAGGGUGUUACGCCAUAAACAAAUAGCCAUCGAAACAACUUCUAGCAAAUCCAAGAAAGAAAGAAGAGGAUUACUACACGUGAAAGAAAUUAUACUCCAUAAUCCCAUAUAUAGACGUACAAAAUCUUAAAAUCACACUUGGAAUGUUCCAAGUCAUAAAAAAAACAUGAGACACAUAAAAUUAGAGACAGUUUUGCCAUUACCAUACUCCACAUCCUUUUUUAUUCAAAAAAUCUGCAUAUGUGUUUUGAGGGACCAUAAUUCUGUAAAAAAGUGUACUAAAGGCUUGUGUAGGUAUUUAAUUUGGAGGAUAGUUGAUGGUUAGUUGUUUGAUUUGUAGCAUUUGUAGCCCAGUGUAAUUGUUCGGCUGCACUCAUACCCUUGAAAAUAACCCUUACAUUUUUCAAGCUUUAAAAAACUUGUGUGUGCUUCCCGAUAAUGCAAAAAAUUCAGUGCCCUAUGUUACAUUGUAUUGCAGAUUUUAUCCCCAAGGGCUUUGUUAUACUAGUGUAAUCUGUGCUUGAAUAGAAUAUAUGGCACCGCUGGCGUCUUUUCUUGGUCGAAAGAAAAAGGCACGAUAUUCUAAUCUUAUAUUCUAGGCUCCAAUGUAUUAUUCACAUAUAUGGGCUCUGAGUACAAUCGGCUUUAAUCUUGAAAUUCUAGAUGAUAAACCCGACAUACAUGUGGUAGUUUUUCUUUUUACAAUUUUACAAAGAGAAGUCCAUAUAAAUUCAUGUGCCACAUAUGUCUUUUGGUGCUUCUUUCUGUUUCUCUUGAUGAUCUUGUUUCCUUUUUAGAAGCCUUACUAAUAAUUUGUUGUGAUUCUGAUUUUCAUCGUACUUCUUUAGUGUUAUAUAUGGAUACAUGUCACGGCUUUUUACUGGUACCGACCUCCCAGUAAGAUGAAGUUAUCCUUAUUGCAACAAUUAAGUUACAAGCUUUUCUUUUUUACUUAAUACUAGAUGAUAUGAGUAGGAAUUUUAAAUUACUAAUAUAUGAACUAAAAUACAUAUGAGUCACUAUAUGUAAUUUAUCGAUUUGAGUCUUUUCCCGUGCAUAUUUACAUGUUGAGGUGAACAUUUCUCAUUGCAUGUUCAAGUGGCAUGUGUGCAUGGUGAGAAAAAUAGGUUAGUAGAGGCUAAAUACUAGAUAUAAUAUAAAUUAAUAAUAUAAGAACUAAAAUUUAUAAUACAUAUGUUUUAGUAUAUACAAUUAUUUAGCAAAAUCUUUUUCCAUGCAUAUUUGCAUGUUGUGGUGAGUCUUUUUCGUGCAUGUUGGCAUCCUCAUAUAGCAUGUGUACCAUGUUGUGAAAAAUAGGUUAGUGGAGGCUAAUUAUUUAGAUAUAGAAGAUAACUACUUGGGGUGGAUUCAGUAAUUUCUUGCCACAUAAUAAUUAAACAUGUCAUCUUUAAACCGAAUGAGCUUAAAGUCGGGCGCAACUCCAUGUGCAUUUGUAGACCGAGAAAUGCCCAAAUAAUUAGUUGCACAGUUCUACGACUAAGCGUGCUUGGUUCACCGACUAUUUCUGAAUGAGAUAGGGAUAGCCAUCUUGUGGUUGAUCAUGUUUGGCUCAGAGCACCAAGAUUUUGGAAUGUUCCGUGAGAUAAAAAAAAUAAACA